rnacentral:rRNA from 1 species
UUCCGGUUGAUCCUGCCGGACCUGACUGCUAUCGGAUUGAUACUAAGCCAUGCGAGUCAUUGUAGCAAUACAAGGCAUACGGCUCAGUAACGCGUAGUCAACCUAACCUAUGGACGGGAAUAACCUCGGGAAACUGAGAAUAAUGCCCGAUAGAACAUUAUGCCUGGAAUGGCUUAUGUUCCAAAUGAUUUAUCGCCGUAGGAUGGGACUGCGGCCUAUCAGUUUGUUGGUGAGGUAAUGGCCCACCAAGACUAUUACAGGUACGGGCUCUGAGAGGAGUAGCCCGGAGAUGGGUACUGAGACACGGACCCAGGCCCUAUGGGGCGCAGCAGGCGAGAAAACUUUGCAAUGUGCGAAAGCACGACAAGGUUAAUCCGAGUGAUUUGUGCUAAACGAAUCUUUUGUUAGUCCUAGAAACACUAACGAAUAAGGGGUGGGCAAGUUCUGGUGUCAGCCGCCGCGGUAAAACCAGCACCUCAAGUGGUCAGGAUGAUUAUUGGGCCUAAAGCAUCCGUAGCCGGCUCUGUAAGUUUUCGGUUAAAUCUGUACGCUUAACGUACAGGCUGCCGGGAAUACUGCAAAGCUAGGGAGUGGGAGAGGUAGACGGUACUCGGUAGGAAGUGGUAAAAUGCUUUGAUCUAUCGAUGACCACCUGUGGCGAAGGCGGUCUACCAGAACACGUCCGACGGUGAGGGAUGAAAGCUGGGGGAGCAAACCGGAUUAGAUACCCGGGUAGUCCCAGCUGUAAACUAUGCAAACUCAGUGAUGCAUUGGCUUGUGGCCAAUGCAGUGCUGCAGGGAAGCCGUUAAGUUUGCCGCCUGGGAAGUACGUACGCAAGUAUGAAACUUAAAGGAAUUGGCGGGGGAGCACCACAAGGGGUGAAGCCUGCGGUUCAAUUGGAUUCAACGCCGGG